rnacentral:rRNA from 1 species
GACGAACGCUGGCGGCGUGCUUAACACAUGCAAGUCGAACGGAAAGGCCCUGCUUUUGUGGGGUGCUCGAGUGGCGAACGGGUGAGUAACACGUGAGUAACCUGCCCUUGACUUUGGGAUAACUUCAGGAAACUGGGGCUAAUACCGGCUAGGAGCUCCUGCUGCAUGGUGGGGGUUGGAAAGUUUCGGCGGUUGUGGAUGGACUCGCGGCUUAUCAGCUUGUUGGUGGGGUAGUGGCUUACCAAGGCUUUGACGGGUAGCCGGCCUGAGAGGGUGACCGGCCACAUUGGGACUGAGAUACGGCGCAGACUCCUACGGGAGGCAGCAGUGGGGAAUAUUGCACAAUGGGCGGAAGCCUGAGGCAGCAACGCCGCGUGCGGGAUGACGGCCUUCGGGUUGUAAACCGCUUUCGCCUGUGACGAAGCGUGAGUGACGGUAAUGGGUAAAGAAGCACCGGCUAACUACGUG